rnacentral:lncRNA from 1 species
AAAUAGUUUAGUUGUAUUUUAAUAUUAUAUUAUUACUUGAUUUUAUUUAAUAAUCUCUCUAUCUAAAUUAAUUCAAGAUUUGCCCUAGGACAAUUUAUGAAUACACCUUUCUUCUAUUCUCUCCUAUUACAGAAAUCCGUCCUGGAAUUUGGCACAUGUAUGGGAUAUGGAUAGAAAAUAAGAGCAAAGAGGAAUUCAAGAUAAUGAGGCAAUAUAAACAAAAGUUGAAAAGAGAAAAUGAGCAUGCAGUGCCUAGAGAUGCCAAGGAAUCCAGAUCACUGAGGUUGUUUCACUGUGGGUAACUGCUAAGGCCUUCACCCUUGAUGCCAGAGGUGCUGAAACACAUUGCCACACGGCGAAAGAAGUGCCCUAUUGGCCCAAACACAUUGAAUAAACAUCUACCUCAAACCUU